AAAAUUGUGUUGAAUUUCUACACUAAAUUUCUAAUAUUGUGAAAUUUUUUAUCGACUCUAAAUAAAAGAAAUAUGCAAAAGGUUUAAAUUGGGAUAAUUUUCAAUCUAUCCACUAAGACAACAUGCCCUUUACAGUACAUAUGGAGCUACUUUACCGCACUAGUGCGAUAAUUGGCACAUUACGUGACUAUGUCGAAAAUUAAAAGGGCCAUAUGUGCUGUAAAACGUUGUACGAUACAUGUGCGAAUAGGUAAUUAUACAAAAAUAGUUUUUAACUAAUAUUACGACUAUAAGGCGACAGUGGGAUUGAUUGUAUGAAAGAGGAUAAUUUAUAUUUUAUGGGCAUAUAUAAAAGGUCUACAAUUUAAAAAUUAGCUAUUUAACAUUUAGUUAAUAUCAAUAAAUAGUAAGAAAAGCUAAUUGUAAAUUAGGAAAUUGAAUGCCAAGUCUGAGUCACGGAAUAUUAUAUGGAUUUACCUGGUCAAUUAAAAAAAUACUAAUUAAACUAUCACACGCAUCCUCGUCAUAAUUUAUGGAUUUAGUUAGUGAACGUUUUUUUUUAACCUGUCUUAGGCUAUUACACUACGGUAAUUAAAGCGGUAAGACUGUGUGGGGGGAUGGUAGCCUGGGGAAAAUCCAGGACCCUUCCGCAUCACACGAGACGGUUAGUGAACGAAUCUAUUUUCCCUAUCUACGUUUAUUAUCUUUUUAUAGAAUAUUCGUAAGAUUCUCUAGUAAAACAUGAACUCUUUUGUACUGUAGAAUGUGCCUAUAGAUAUAAAUUAUCGUCAAAUGAAUUGAACGUGCUAAGAAGUGCAGCCGGUCUUGUGAAAUAUCGCACAACUAGUUUAGCAACAACUUUCAUAGGUUCGCCAUUCUUCGAGCGAUUUAAUGUAUAAAUAGGCGAUUCAGUCACUGUUUUAACGGGUCAAAUGUAAACAUAAAGCUUUUUGACAGAUUUUUAAACUUUUUUUUAAAGAAAUGCAUUAAUCCUUCUAUCCAAGUAGUACUAACUGAAUGGAAAAAACAUUAAGUUUACAUUUUUCCCAUUUUAUUUUUCGUAUAUGUAUUCGAAAGCCAUUGGUUUUCACUAAAUGUGAUGAUGGAUUUAGGCUUUAAUUGACUGCUUUUAUAGUCACGGCUUAUUUUACCUCUUACGCCUAAUUUCACAUAGGUCUCAGUUACAUUAGGUCUAGGCCUCUAGGUCUCUCUAGGCCUCAGUGGCACUAGGUUAAUUACAGCCUGAAUCCCCGGAACAUGUAAUGUGUAAGUAAAGUAAGGCGUUUAGUUUGUGUAAUUGUUAAUGCUUAGUAAGAAAAUGUUGCCAGUUACAACCUGUUUUAUGGUUACUUUUAUACUGUAGGCCUCUAAAAUUACGGAUUCGUUAUUAGCGUUGAAAUUAAAGUAAUAAAUAUCACUCCCGUAAUAAAUAUAACCAUGAAAUGUUUUAAUAAAAAGGUUUUCGGAGUGGUUUAGUCUGAGAUAGUCCAGUAAAGUCGCCAUCAGAUAUAUCAGAGCGGUCGAGGUGGUCACAAAUAUCUGAACACGCCUCUACUGUCAAGGCGUGUUCAGAUAUUUUUGAGCACCUCGGCCGCUCCGAUAUAUCUGACGGCGACUGUACGAGCAGCAACAAUUGCACAAAAUAAUGCAACAUAGCUGUAAGAUUUUAAUGUAUUGUUCAGAUGCAAAUAUUUAGAAGGAUCAUCAUGUAAAUAACGUAAUAUAGCAACAAAUAAAAAUUUUAAGCAGAGCACCGAUGGCGGCGCAUUUUUUAUAAUAUGAUUGUGUAGAAUCAUUUUUAGACGGGCUUUGACGCAUUUUUUAUGUAAUAUAUAAGUAACUAAAUUUUAAGAGAAACUUACUAAGUAUUCGCUUUGUUUAAUGAUUUUAAAAUGUUAAUGUUUAAUUUAUAUGUAAUUUCUUAUGGAACAUAACUGUCAAACCAAUACUUGCUGACUAUUCUAGUUAAAGCAAUUCAGAAAUACGGUUUGAUUUUUAAAAUGGACUUUAAGUAUGAGGCAAUAAGAAUGAAGAAAUACAUUCGUGCAAUGUAUUAAUUUAGCAUACGUCCUUUUCGGUAUAGACCAGUUAGAUAAGGAUGGAACAUAGCAUUAUUGUAUCUAAAGGCAUUAUUAUGAUAUUUAGUAACAUCAGCCUCAGUUUUUGAUUUUUACUAAUCUUAAUCCUUCAAAUAAAAGGGUUAAUAUUAUUCAAACCAUCAUUUUACGUAACAAUGUUAUUUUAAAAGUAAGUUUUGAUGUUCGUCUUCUUUAUUGAUGUUAGAAAUAAUUGGUAAAUUGUUUCAAGUCCUAAUAUUGGUUCACGCCACUGUAACCCAGUCCAUGUUAGUCGAUGUAUUCCUUGUAUCUGCUUUCAGGUAACUGCUAUAUUAUAAUUAUUUUUGUAUACAAAUGAACUCGGGUUGGUUAGGCGUAACGCUGUCGAAGUAAUUCUUCCAAAUAUUGUAAAGCCUCUGAAUAAUUCAAAAUAUAUUUAUAUUAACUGUUCA